AGUGAACGCUGGCGGUAGGCCUAACACAUGCAAGUCGAACGGCAGCACAGUAAGAGCUUGCUCUUACGGGUGGCGAGUGGCGGACGGGUGAGGAGUACAUCGGAAUCUACUUUUUCGUGGGGGAUAACGUAGGGAAACUUACGCUAAUACCGCAUACGACCUACGGGUGAAAGCAGGGGAUCUUCGGACCUUGCGCGAUUGAAUGAGCCGAUGUCGGAUUAGCUAGUUGGCGGGGUAAAGGCCCACCAAGGCGACGAUCCGUAGCUGGUCUGAGAGGAUGAUCAGCCAAACUGGAACUGAGAAACGGUCCAGACUCCUAAGGGAGGCAGCAGUGGGGAAUAUUGGACAAUGGGCGCAAGCCUGAUCCAGCCAUACCGCGUGGGUGAAGAAGGCCUUCGGGUUGUAAAGCCCUUUUGUUGGGAAAGAAAAGCAGCAGGUUAAUACCCCGCUGUUCUGACGGUACCCAAAGAAUAAGCACCGGCUAACUUCGUG
rnacentral:rRNA from 1 species